UAUAUAUAUAUAUAUAUAUAUAUAUAUAUACAUGCCAAAUGUUUAAAAACUAACUCUUGGUGAAGUAGAACUGAGACUGCAGUGUUGUCGUGGUGACUUGGUGACGGAGGAGCAGCACCAUCUGUUGUCCAAACGCGGUCGCAGUAAUGAGGUCGCUUCAUAAAAUGACGGCGGCGCGGCGGCGAGGUUUAUCGUUGAUCGGCUUUACUGGGAGAUCUCCUCCGUCUGACUGAAGGCCGGAAAGCGCCUGCGUGUGAACUUGGUGGCUACGAAGGUCCCAAGGUCGUUACCGCGGCGCCCUGUCUGGUCACCGCCUCGCCCUUCACCACCACGGCGUCUCCUUCCACCAGGGCCGGCCACACGUGGUACAUCACCCGGGGAGCCGCCCGCUCAGAGUCGUAGCUGCGACGGUACCUGGAGAGCAGGUGAAAUGUUAUUGGCAAUCAAAAGUAUCGCCGAGGAAUAACACACACACACACACUGAGGACUGACUUCCUGUCGUCGAAAAGCUCUCUGUCGGUGGCGGGCGCCAAGUCGAGCGGCGGUUCCAGCAUCUGCAUGGCGAAGGCCGCCUUGCACGCCUCCCUGAUCAGGCUGUUGAUGAAGAAGAAGUCCACCUCCGGCAGGAAGGUGACCCACGGGUCCACGCUCAUGGCGUCGAGCACGUCCUGCGCAGAAGAGAAGAGGCCGGCGCGUCAGAGCCGCGGCCCUCCGCGCCCGGGACGCGCUGCGGGGAGACGCGCGUUUGAUUCCCACCUUCAUGCUGGACUGGACGUCGUAGAGGUGCAUGUUGUGGACCAGGAAGUCCCUGGUGGCGUCCUCCAAACUCUCUGGCCCGGAGUGGGACGGCGACAAGGUCUUCCUCCAGCGCGCCUUGAGCUGUCGGUACGCCCGCUUCGCUCGGUUAAAGGACUCCUGAUACGGGAGAACAUCUUGAAGUAUUUCUAUUCAUACAAAGUUAUAUAUAUAUAUAUACAAUCGUGAUCUCGUGAAUAAAAUAAAUCCUGUUACCGGCUGCACGUCAAACCCAUUCGGAGAAUCAAACAAGAUGACAGAGGUGA